rnacentral:rRNA from 1 species
UACGGAGGGUGCAAGCGUUAUCCGGAUUCACUGGGUUAAAGGGUGCGUAGGCGGCGCGGUAAGUCGGGUGUGAAAUCUCGGAGCUUAACUCCGAAACUGCAUUCGAUACUGCCGUGCUUGAGGACUGGAGAGGAGACUGGAAUUUACGGUGUAGCGGUGAAAUGCGUAGAUAUCGUAAGGAAGACCAGUGGCGAAGGCGGGUCUCUGGACAGUUCCUGACGCUGAGGCACGAAGGCCAGGGGAGCAAACGGG